CAGCUCAGCCAGGCUCGUAGAAGCGAUGGGAGCCGGUGGAAGCGGGCGGCGGAGCAGGGCCCUCGGGUGGGAGGAGGAGGCUGACGCGAGCCUGUGCGAAGUGGGCUGAAAUUCACGUCCCGUUUGGAGGAGUUUGGGGAUAAUGGUUUAUGACAUUGAGGACUUCGGAAUCCUGAAUCCGUGAAAGUCUGAGCUGGGCUGUCACAAGUUCAACAGGACCCCUCAUCAUCCAAUUCAUGGGACUGCUGUUGCUGCUCCUGAUAUAAGUUCUCUUUCUGAGGCCCUGACACCUUUAAUCACAAGACCUAGACUCUGCAGUUCCAUGUGUCUGUGUGCUUUCAGGAGACAGUAGGGGUUUAAGCAACACAGAGUUCCGGAGGCAGCAUCGGCAGGGGUGCCAGACUUCCGGAGACAAAGAAGAUUUUUACAAAUGCAGUGAGUCUCUUAAGAGUGAAGAGGAGGAAAAUCCAGGUUAAAAAGGAAAGAAAGGAAGAAGGAAGGAAGGAAAAUGGGAAGAAGGAAGGAAGAGAGGGAAGAAAGGAAAGGAAAUGCUUAUAAAGGAAGAAAGAAAAUGCUCCCCAGGAAAUUUUUACUACGCACCAAUUUUGGGAGUCUCUCAUCCAGUGGUUUUUCAGUGUUUCCUCAACCAGGAACUUCAGCGUCACCUGGAAACUUGUUGGAAAUGCAGCAUCUCCAGCCCCGCCGUAGGCCCGCUGAAUGGGAAAUCCUGAGGAUGAGGCCCAGCACUGUGUUUUAACAAGCCCUCCAGGGGAUUCUGACAGUCACUAAAGUUUGUGUCCUGCUGUCCUGGCCGAAAGCACGUUUGUUUUUCAGUAAAGGCGCAUCCAAAUAUGACAGGCCCCAAAGAGAAGUGUCAUCUCUCUGGAAGUUUUGUUGCUCUUUCUCUGGUUCUCACAACACCGGGAAGAGUGGGCAAAACUAAAUUAAUAAAAAGUGGCAUUUGUACUCUGGUUAUUGCAUACAUACCUCAUCAGUUUCCUAACUUACAGUAAAAUACCUUUGAGUUUUAGACCAAUCUGUUUAAAGAGCUGAAGGGCUGCCUGGUGUCAGAGGUGGAAUGGUUCAUUCUGAACAAGAAAUUCAAUCACGAGGCCGAGGAAUAGAGCCACCCAAACCAGCUGGCACUUUAUGCCAGAGGAGAGAAGAGCCAGUAGAAGAACUUGGGAAGGCAUGAGAGCAGGUGAGCAGCAACCUUUGUGAAGAAGCAGCGUCUUGGUGUGAUAGGCCUGAUGGGACGUUGACGAGUGUUACGGACCCAGCCCUACUCUUUACGUCUGAAGGAGCAAAAACAGCGUGUUCUAGUGAUCUCAGAGUAGAGAAAAAAGACUUUUCUUAAAAGGAAGCUCUUUAAUCAAGAUAUAAUUCCGAAGCCUAAUUAGCAGAAACCAGACUCAGUCUCUCUUUGGGACCUCAGACCAAAAACUGUAUCAAAUGAAUGACAAUAUACAAGGAGAGAUCCUCUCUCUUUCUCUUGCCUAACUCCAGGCUGCUUCUUGGUGUCCUGUUUCUAAAGCCUAUUUCCUAUUUCUUAGGGUAAAGGAUAAGCCCUGUUAUUAAUUUUGUUAUUAACACUAAAAGGCUUAUAAAUCACCUGCCUCUGAUAGGAAAUCAACAUCGAAAUAAUUUCUGGUGAAGUAUAUGUCUGGAUAUUUUGCCAUGCCUGACACAAAGUUAUGAUGACGGAGUUUGAAGUGAAAAUUUCUUUUGAAGUCAUUGAAUUGGUGUUCCUCAUUCCCACUUAACUUUAUAAAGCAACAUACACAUUUGUAAAUUUUAUUUUUUCAUAAAGAAAAAAAUGAAAAUGCCGUUGGCUUUAAUUCUACAUGUUAAUUAAACUUGAUUUCUGAAGCAAUAGAUGUCAAUUUACAGGGUAAUUUUCUUAAAAAAUAAAAAGCAAACAAUUAUUUGUUGAAAUUAUGCUAUCCUUCAAAAGGUAAGGGCUAAGUUAAAUUCAGUUUAACAAAGGAACACCUAAUUAAUUGCCUGUAACUCCAUAUAAGCAAUAACAUUAAUGAUGUAAUAAUGAGAUUUUUCCCCAGCAGAGAUAGGAAGGUAAGAUGUAGGUAUUGAACAGAAAAAUAAAUGCAUGUUAUUGAGCCUAGUAUUUCUAUUUGCUUCCAGUAGGUACAAACAGUAUACUCUGAAAAGCCUUAUGUUUAAUUCAAAGAAAGUACUGUUUCUCCAAAUAUUCAAAUGUGAUGAAAAGUGAAACUGUUAACACUAUUUCUACCUUUAAAAAUGCUGUAUUUACAAAAAGCUAUGUAUGUUUGUAUAAUAUUUUGAAUGUCCAUGCACUAUAUGGAGCAUGGAUUACAUUGGCAAAAAUGCUACAUUAUGUGUAUUUUGGGAACAAGAUAGAGUAGAAAUAUUAAAAUUAAUAAGAAUGAGAAUAUUAAUAUGAACAUGUUUUACACAUCUCUAUAAAUUUUCAUUUUAUAUACAUGAAUGAUUAAAUACACAUUAUGCAUUUAUAAAUGGUAAUAUAAAUAGAAAAAUAACCACGGGCAGAAGGGGGAAUGCAUUAAAAAAAGGCUUCACAAAAAACCGACGACAGUAUAUGUACUUAUUUACAUAAAAUUAUAAAUGUGUGGGUAGAAAAAUUAGACGUAAAAAUUCCAACAGUAGCUAUUGACUUAUAGAAAGUCCAUGACAAAUUGUCAAUGAAAAAUAUUAGAGUUUAAAGUCUAUGAAUUAUAUUCUAUAAUGGAUAAAAGCAAACAGUGAAACAAGAAAGAGAAACCAGAGGCAUUUGUGUAUAGAUGAUUAUAUUUGCCUGUUUAACUAGGAGACGAUAUGAAAGGAUGCAGACUGGCCCGUUAACAGUGGAUACCCCAGAAGACAAGGAAGCCGGGCGAGGUGUUAGCAUUUCCUUUACACAUCUGUGUAUUAUUCCACUUAUGUAAACAUGCACUAGCAAUUUUUUCACAUUUAAAUCUUUUGUUGAAAUAAAACAGAAAACUGCACAUAUCCUGAGUGUUCAGCUCAAUAAGUUAUCACAACCCUGAAACCACCGCACAGAUAAAGAAAAAACAAGCACUAGCAUCUCCGAAGGCUCCCUCAAGCCCCUCCUCAAGUCACUACUUCCAGGACCUCUUUUGACCUCUAGCUCCAUAGACUAGUUUCAUCCAUUUUUCAACUUUUUGUAAGUGAAACUAUAUAUUUUCUGUAUCUGGAUGCAAUCAUUUAACCUUAGAUUUGUAAGAUUCAUCCAUGUUGUUUUAUGGAACAGUGCAUCCCUUUUCUUUCAGUUUUGAAUAGACCGUAAUUUACUUAUACACCGUUGAUGGGCACUUAAAUUUUUCACAAUCUUGCGAUAGUACAAAUAAUAUGAAUACUGCCACAGAACUUCCUGUCCAUGUUUUUGCUGGUCACACACGCUAUUCCUUUAGGUAUACAUCAGGGUUCUGUUUGCAGUGAGCGACCUUGAGGGAUGAGGCAAUGUUCUGGGCUAAGAGUAGGCUCAUUGCUAUAAAACAGCAGGUUCCCCGAGUUCGGUAUUUCUUCCUUAUUACAGCCCACUGCACGUGCAGGGGCCAUCUGGGCCCUCUGUCUUGCGCUCCUGGGACUUCGGGGAAAAAGGGACAAAUACAAAUGAUUUUCACACUGUUUCCUGUGCCAUGAGUAAUAAAAUCCUUUGUCUCUGA